rnacentral:tRNA from 1 species
UCCCUGAUAGCUAAGUUGGUAAAGAAUCUGCCUGCAAUGCAGGAGACUCCAGUUUGACUCCUGGGUUGGGAA